rnacentral:rRNA from 1 species
AGUCGAACGGCCCGCAAGGGUAGUGGCGAACGGUCGAGUAACACGUAGACUACCUGCCUCCGAGUGGGGGAUAACAGUCCGAAAGGGCUGCUAAUACCGCAUAAGGUCCCGAGAAGCCUUUUUCGGGUACGAAAGGAUUUAUUCGCUGGGAGAUGGGUCUGCGGCCUAUCAGCUAGUUGGUGUGGUAACGGCGCACCAAGGCGACGACGGGUAGCUGGUCUGAGAGGAUGAUCAGCCGGACGGGGACUGAGACACGGCCCCGACUCCUUCGGGAGGCAGCAAUGAGGGAUAUUGCACAAUGGGGGAAACCCUGAUGCAGCGACGCCGCGUGGGUGAGGAAGUCCUUCGGGAUGUAAAGCCCUUUUGCAGGGGACGAGAACGGACGGUACCCUGCGAAUAAGCCCCGGCUAACUACGUGCCAGCAGCCGCGGUAAUACGUAGGGGGCAAGCGUUGUCCGGAUUUACUGGGCGUAAAGAGCGCGUAGGCGGAAGCUUAAGUGUGGCCUGAAAGCCCCCGGCUCAACCGGGGAGGGUGGCUGCAAACUGGGCUUCUUGAGGACGACAGAGGAAGGUGGAAUUCCGGGUGUAGCGGUGAAAUGCGUAGAGAUCCGGAGGAACACCAGUGGCGAAGGCGGCCUUCUGGGUCGAGCCUGACGCUGAGGCGCGAAAGCGUG